AGUGAACGCUGGCGGUAGGCCUAAUACAUGCAAGUCGAACGGCAGCACAGUAAUAGCUGGCUCUUACGGGUGGCGAGUGGCGGACGGGUGAGGAAUAUAUCGGAAUCUACUCUUUCGUGGGGGAUAACGUAGGGAAACAUAGGCUAAUACCGCAAACGACCUAAAGGGGAAAGCAGGGGAUUUUCAGACCGUUUGCGUUAGAAUGAGCGAAGGUCGUAUUAGCUAGUUGGCGGGGUAAAGGCCCACCAAGGCGACGAUCCGUAGCUGGUCUGAGAGGAUGAUCAGCCACACUGGAACUGAGACACGGUCCAGACUCCUACGGGAGGCAGCAGUGGGGAAUAUUCGACAAUGGGCGAAAGCCUGACCCAGCCAUACCGCGUGGGUGAAGAAGGCCUUCGGGUUGUAAAGCCCUGUUGUUGGGAAAGAAAAGCUGCAGGUUAAUUCCCCGCUGUUCUGACGGUACCCAACGAGUAAGCCCCGGCUAACUUCGUG
rnacentral:rRNA from 1 species